rnacentral:misc_RNA from 1 species
AGAGGGAGAGAGAGAGAGAGAGAGAAAACGUCGAGAGAGCAGGAGGAAGAAGGAACUCAAGUUGACCGGGCGCACACAUCCUCGCACCCACGCGCGCUUCUUUAUUUACUCGUGGAGCGGCGCGAUUCCGCUAUGAGGACCACCGUCGCCUGAAGUUACGGCCGAAGGUGUACCCUCCGUUGUGUACUCGUCAGAGGUCAUGAAUGCCCAGUCCCUUCGGGUACAGCCGCCGAUGGAGCUCCGAGAAAUUUCGCAUUCCCACAAACCGUGGAUGCAGCCGGGGGCCGGAAUCGGCGGGGCCCACGUGGGCGGGACAGGUGACGAUGAGGCUCCGAAGGACCCGGGAGCGCGGAUCACCCAUCAGUCCUACACGGAAAAAGACUACGAAGGUCACAGGGCGCAUACGGUGUACGUAGGCGUGCACCUGCCGGGAGAGAGGAGACACCGCCGCCACCAUAAACACCAUCAUUCACAACGGCAAUCGUACCCCUGCGGUAAGGAGGAUGCCGACAACGAAAGGUCGAGGCAAUUGUUGAUGGCGCGCCGAGGUCGUCUCGCUAGCAUCUGCGACCCCGCCGGCGAGAUGAUAUUCACGCCGCCGGCGCAGAGGGUGCAGUUCAUCCUCGGCGAGGAAGUUGGUGACGAUGCGCACGAGUCGCAUCCGUUGUUCUCGGAGAUGGAGGAGCUCGUCAAGGAUGGCGACGAGAUGGAAUGGAAGGAGACCGCGAGGUGGAUCAAGUUCGAGGAAGACGUCGAGGAAGGUGGCAAUAGGUGGAGCAAACCUCACGUAGCCACAUUAUCGUUACACUCGCUGUUCGAGCUGAGGAGCCUCAUCUUAAACGGAACUGUCAUGCUCGACAUGGAGGCGGUCAGUUUGGAACAGAUAGCCGAUCUCGUUCUCGAUAACAUGAUCAACAAGGGAGUGCUACAGAUCGAAUUGCGAGAGAAAGUGAGAGAAGCCCUCCUUGUCAGGCAUCGACAUCAGCACGAAAGGCGCAAAGACAAUAACAUGUCGAGGUUACCGAUCAUAAGAUCGUUAGCUGAGAUAGGACGCAACCAUUCCUCGUCGAAGAAUUGCGACUGUUCAUGUGGUAUGCAUGCCUUGUUGACGUCAGAUUUGCAGGAGCGUCGCGAACCCAAGGAAGCUUACAUGCCCUCCGUCGCCCGCAGCAGCAGCUGCCCAAACUCGAACACGGCCCCGCUGUCGAAAGAGGCGAAAGACCUCAAAGGGCCAUAUCUUCUAGUUCCAGUGGAGGAAUCGAAUUCCGCUCCGGCGAUCGCCGGCGCAACAAGUCAGGGCAGUGGAGCAGCGCUGAAUGCUGGUAGCCGCUUCCUUGCGAUACCCGGCAAUCCCGGCCAAGAACCAGGCAGCAAUGGCAUGGACCGGAGCCCCAGCAGUGUGUCCAUCAGCAGGAAUCACAGCUCCUCGGCUUUGGAAAAUGGAGAUGCUAAUCACAGGGGUAAUACACACUUUAUGAGGAAGAUACCAGCUGGUGCUGAAGCGAGCAACAUCCUCGUGGGUGAGGUUGACUUCCUCGACAAGACACUGUCCGCUUUCAUCCGAUUGAGCCAGGCCGGGAUAAUGGGCGACCUGACGGAGGUACCCGUGCCGACGAGAUUUAUCUUCGUACUGCUGGGACCCAUGGGUGGAAGUUCAGGUUUCGGCAGAGAGAUUGGUCGAGCCAUGGCGACUCUGAUGUCCGAUGAAGUCUUCCACGACGUGGCUUACAAAGCGAAAAAUCGAAAUCAUCUCUUAGCUGGCAUCGAUGAAUUCCUAGAUGCCGUAACGGUAUUACCACCCGGUGAAUGGGAUCCAACAAUCAGGAUAGAACCACCAGCCGCUAUACCUUCGCAGGAAGUCAGAAAGAGACCCAAGGAAGAGAAGCCAAAGGAGGAAUUUGAUGAGGAGGCUGACGAACAAAAGCAAAGGGAAGAAUCCGGCCUUGCGAGAUCCGGCAGAUUGUUUGGAGGACUGAUCAACGACGUGAAGAGGAAAGUUCCAUUUUAUUGGUCCGAUUUCAAGGAUGCCUUGGCGCUUCAGUGCGUAGCGUCUUUUAUUUUCUUGUACUUCGCCUGCCUGUCACCCAUCAUCACCUUCGGUGGCCUUCUUAGCGAGGCUACCGGUAAAAACAUGGCCGCUAUGGAGUCGCUAGUCUCCGGCUUCGUCUGCGGUAUAGGAUAUGGCUUCUUCUCCGGCCAACCACUGACUAUACUGGGCUCCACCGGUCCAGUUUUAGUUUUCGAGACGAUCGUGUACGAAUUCUGCAAGCAAGUCGAAUGGAAUUAUAUGUCUUUCCGUUUCUGGAUUGGCACAUGGACUGCUAUUAUCCUGAUGAUCCUCGUGGCAAUAGACGCGAGUGCUUUGGUCUGUUACAUCACUCGUUUCACGGAAGAAAACUUCGCCACCCUCAUUGCCUUCAUCUUCAUUUACAAGGCAAUCGAGAAUGUGUUGUCGAUCGGCAAGAAGUUCCCCCUGAACACCCACCCUAGUGAAACGUUGGGUUACGAUUGUUGGUGUAAACCACCGAACAUCACUUUGCCAUCCAGUUACGACAAUGUGAACUGGACGAUGCUGAAUCAGACAACAUGCGAGAACUACAAUGGCACGAUGGUGGGCGAUGGAUGCAGCGCGCCGCAUUACGUACCCGAUGUGUUCCUCAUGUCAAUUAUCUUAUUUAUGGGCACGUUCUUGCUGUCGGUGGAACUCAAAGAUUUCAAGAAUGCUUUGUUCUUCCCCUCAAAGGUGAGGCAAGUGGUGAGCGACUUCGCGGUAAUAAUCGCGAUAUUCUCUAUGAGCACGUUAGACCACUUUGUGAGUAUCCCGACACCGAAGUUGGAAGUGCCGACGGAAUUUAAGCCGACAUUGGAGGGACGAGGAUGGGUGAUCUGGCCUUUUCAGCACAAUCCGUGGUGGAGUGCUGUCGUGGCGUGCCUCCCCGCUUUAUUAGGCACUAUAUUGAUCUUCAUGGAUCAGCAAAUCACAGCCGUUAUAGUCAAUAGGAAGGAGAACAAGUUAAAGAAAGGAUGCGGUUAUCACUUGGACCUCUUCGUUUUGGCGAUCCUAAUCGAGAUAUGCUCGGUGAUGGGACUCCCGUGGUUCGUCGCAGCGACAGUACUUUCCAUCAACCAUGUGAACUCACUAAAGUUAGAAUCCGAAUGCGCUGCACCGGGCGAGAAACCGCAGUUCUUGGGCGUCCGCGAACAAAGAGUCACUCAUAUAUUAAUUUUCCUGAUGAUCGGUUGUUCAGUGCUGCUAACUCCCAUGCUACGAAACAUACCAAUGCCGGUGUUGUUCGGUGUCUUCCUGUACAUGGGCGUCGCAUCAUUGAAAGGUCUCCAAUUCUUCGACAGGAUUUUAAUCAUGUUAAUGCCCGUUAAGUACCAGCCGGACUACAUGUUCUUGCGUCAGGUGCCGUUAAAGCGCGUGCACAUGUUCACCGUGAUCCAACUUACCUGUCUCGCUUGUCUCUGGAUUAUAAAGUCCUUCAGCACCACUUCUAUCUUAUUCCCCUUAAUGCUUGUGGUGAUGAUUGGUAUACGCAAAUCCUUGGACCUGAUGUUCACGCAACGCGAAUUGAAGAUUCUUGACGACGUAAUGCCAGAGCCUAGUAAGAAGCAUGCCGAUGAUCUUCGCAAGCUGGAGAACGGCGAGGAUCAGGCUGAGACGAUGGGAUACGGACCUCCGGGCAACAUCCAGAUCUCUCUAGCCAACGGGAACAUCAUGAAGAUCCCGCUGGCGAGCAUCAACAUCAGCGAGGAGGUGAACAAGACCGGCAUCUGGCAGCAAGUCAACGAGGGCAACGAGAAGUCGAAGCAGUCCAAGUCACUCAUUAAUAUGGGGAAACAAAAGAAGCACACAAAGAAGGACAAUUCGUUGCUAGCCGACGAGACGACGAGGCUGACGACGAUGACCGAGGAGGACGAGGAUGACAGUGGGAUCUCGAUCAAGGUGACAAACGUAAAUGACUCUAAAUUCUAACUACCAUCACCAUCACCAAAUCGACAAUUCAUAUGGCAAGACACACAGCAAGAGCACCUAUACACCGGCAUGCAACAUACUACCCCAUGCACCACCGCUGUAGAUUUAAUACGGUCCAAGGAAAGCAUCAGUCCCUUGAAAGCGAAUGGCACUACCUCAGCCGAAACUUCCGUUUAACAUGAAGACCGAAGCGGCACCGAGCGCACGUUCACGCGACACGCAGGCUUCUUUGAUCGAUCGUCCCGAGACUUUCAUCUAUUUCGUUCCCUCCUCUGUAAUUCGCGUCCGUUUCUUCUUCUCGGAUCUCUCGCGAGUCGCCCAAUAAGCUGUCGCGUUGUUACCGAGGCUUUCGUUCUUAUUCGAGAAGCAACGCCACAUUCACUCACUGUCUCAUUUCGCGAUUACUCUUGAUUGUAUUAUAUUUGUACUAUACUUGCCGAUCUCGAUCGCGCGACCCUAGAAUUUAUACUCGACCGUAAACGACAGUCAUCCAUGCACAGAGAGAGAGUCCCGACGUGUCUGUACAUAUAGGUGCGUUUCGCUUCAGGAUUCUCGCCAGUUAGUGUCCCGAUCGUGUAACUUCACGAAGACUCUUCUCUCAUCCCCGUGAAAGUGCACGAGAGACGCGCAAGCAAACGUAGUGUAGAAGCGGGAAAGAAACGGUAUUUGUACAUCUGUAUUUUGUUGGCUUUGCCGGCGCGCGAAUCGAGGGGAUAUCGACGAUAGAAAGAGAGAAGGAGCGAGAGAAGAGGAGGAUUCCAAACGUCGUAACGGAGACGUACGGUAGUUACAUAGUAGUUUUUACAUGCUAGUGACGACGGAAAAGAAAGUAUGGUAAAUUAUAAGAAUUUCAUACAUACACACACACACACACAAAACACACACGUACCCACUCCAUUAAACUCCACUGCAUUUCGAUCGAACGAUCGAAAUGCGAAUCAGCAAGAGCCGUGGUGUUUAUUACGAGUCGUUAGGGAUAUCUCCACGCUGAAACUCGUGAAAAGCGCACAUUUUUCCAAAUCGUGAGCGACACCAAAGGGACAAAGAGGAGAAUACACCGAUACAUACGUCGUAUUUAUAAAAUAUGUAUGCGCUUGAAUGUAAAAUCGCGAUCAAAUGCGCGUCAGAAUUUGAAUUUUCGGAAUUGCACAAUGACUUUUCAAGACUCUUGGGAAGUUAGUCGAGCUUCAACGUAUUCGACGCAUGGGAAAGGACAAUAUCGGUUUGUGUAACUGAAUAGAUUCGGUCGCGGAAAACGAGAUAUCUCCGCUUCCGCGAGCGGAAACAUUCGUCUGGACGUUCAGCUGUGUAAAACUCGGUUGAAAUAAGUGACGACGAAUGAUUGAGUAGAAACAGGAAUUCUUCCGUUUUUACAACCGAAUACUCCAUAUGCUCUCUAUUCUUCUUAGACGAUUCAGGCGGAUGCAGUUACACCAACAGAGUCGCCUUUUCCGUGUGUGCGAUGUUCCGUUCUCAAUAUUUCAACGUGAUAGUUUUGCGCGUUGCACUGUACGCGAACACGAGUCGCAGGAGGGAGGGAGGGAGGGAGGGAGGGAAGGAGGGAAAAAAGUGAGAGAUCGAAUGUAUCGUUUUGCCGUGCGGUGCGACGCGCGAUCCUGCGCGCGCGUGUAGCGAUUAAGUAGCUGAAACAUGUCUAUAAUUAUAGUAUGCCAAAGAAACCCCGUAAUCUAUAUAUGUACCAACGCUUCCUUCGAGGGAUAUCUCGCGGGUCAGCGAGCAAACGAUUCUCGAACGUGGAGCGGAUUCUCUCCGCGAAUAAUGUUCGCGAAGUAGGGAGAACGCUCGUUGGGGAAAACGCGAUCGAAAAACUUGGACUCGUCUCAGAAGAGUUCGUCUCUCUUCUCGACGUGCUGCUGCUCUCCACGACGACGAGGAUCGAUUCUCGAGGACAUUCGACAAAAAGUAUCUUGUAGCACGGCGCAUCGUUCGUUUGGUUGUUUGUUGCCGAAAAUUCCGCACCGGCUGAAAGUCUCUUGCGCGAGAGCUGAACAUCGGAAUUCUAUUUUCGUAAAUCUUUUGAUAUCUGGACAUGUCCAACUAGCCAUCAGCGACAAUAUCGACGUAUUCUAAUUAUAGUGAAAUUAGUUUGCCCCCUCCCUCCGUCCCACCGCAGGAUUCGCGACGAAAAUUCUCCGUGCCGCGGUGAGGUACGACGCGCAACGUGCUUUUUUAUAACGCAGUCCCUUGAAGGAUAACCGAUCUCGUUUGUGAUUAGAGAGAGAUGAUGUACAUCGUGUCGGUUCGUAUAGUCCGCGGUGUGUGCAGUAGCUAAUCGUUUACGACAGUUUACGCAUACAAUUAAUAUUCUGUUGAGCGACAGCAUUGAGACGCAUCCACGUGCGAAACCAGAUCUAGUCGAUCGAGCAAGAGUCGCUGGCUUUUAUUUGCCUCUCAAGGGAAAACGAUUUUCGCAGCUUCGAUCACGCAUCGCGAAACAGAUACUUUAUCACGCCGUACGCUCAAUUCAUGUCACACACGUCAGUUUAUCGCGAAUAACAAGUCCGGAUGCAAUUUCCGUAAUAACGCAGACGAGACCAAUUACGAUUCGUUGCGAGUCAGUUCAGUGCAACGUUACGUAUAAAAUAACGUGAGUAAUGCAACUGCAGAAGUUGCCAGAAGUCGACAGAAUGUUAACAAGUGCGCCAAGCAGGAAAAUCGUCGAUCCCUUUUCUCAAAUAACCCGCGACACGGGCCGAUAAUUAAGAUUUUCAUUGCGUUCAAAAGAGUCAGCCUCCCCGACUUAGCUAGUCGGCCGAUCGGUCAAUCAAUCAAGACACAAUCAUUCUCGCGUGAAAUCUCCACGAAAUUGGAUAAGCUAGCUAGCCGGGAGAAGGAAUAACGUUCUGCGCGAUAUAUAUUUUUUUACACGGACAGUUUGGCAAAAAGUGCAUUUCAACUCGACGCGAAGCCGACGCGAGAGAGUCAUGUGUUACGAUACGCGCGGUACAUUCGACACGCAGGAGUGCUCAAAGGGAGAAGACCUAUAGUUAAAAUCAAUAU